CCCAUCUCGUCUCCUGGGGAGCGAGCUAUUGAAUUGCAUAAUGUGACAGAACAGCCACUUUCGCCCAAAGAUGAAAGGAU